GCCAUUUUAAUCGCGUCACAGUCAGGCCUAGGACACCGCCCUUUCACGGCGGUAACAGGGGUUCGAAUCCCCUAGGGGACGCCA
rnacentral:tRNA from 1 species